CACAAACACUCACACACUAUAGACAAGCUACACUUGAGGACGACUACGGGGCAGCAUGUCUAAUAUUGCAAAGGUUCUUUCUAGGAGGCAGGACAGAGGAGAAGGAGUGGGAACAAACAAGAAUGCGAUUCUCUACAACAAGCAGAACUAUCAGAGCCUGAAGCAGGAAUGUCUGGCAAAAAAAACCCUGUUCUGUGACCUGACCUUCCCUGCUGAAUCCGACUCUCUGGGAUACAACGAACUCGGGCAGCAGUCCAUCAAGACCAGACGAGUGGAGUGGAAGAGACCCAAGGAGCUGUGCUCAAACCCUGAGUUCAUUGUGGACGGUGCCAAGCGGACGGACAUCUGCCAGGGAGCUUUAGGUGACUGCUGGUUGCUGGCAGCCAUUGCAUCUCUGACUCUGGAUAAUGAGAUUCUGGAACGUGUAGUUCCACAUGGACAGAGUUUUACGAAGGACUAUGCCGGCAUCUUCCACUUUCAGUUCUGGCAGUAUGGUGAAUGGGUGGACGUGGUCAUUGAUGACCGUUUGCCUACCAAAGAGGGCUCUGAGUUUUGGAGCGCUCUACUGGAGAAAGCCUAUGCAAAGGUAAAUGGCUCAUAUGAAGCUCUGGAUGGAGGUUCGACCACUGAGGGUUUUGAGGAUUUCACCGGAGGCGUCGCUGAGAAGUAUGAGCUGAGCAAAGCUCCUCCGUACCUGUUUAAGCUCAUGCAGAAAGCACUGACACUGGGCUCAUUACUGGGCUGCUCCAUUAAGAUUACCAGCUCAAAUGAGACGGAGAAGAAGACGAGUCUGAAGCUGGUGAAGGGUCAUGCCUACUCCGUCACGGCCGCAGAGGAGGUUCACUUCAGAGGCAAUCCGGUUGAACUGGUGCGUAUCAGGAACCCGUGGGGUCGUGUGGAGUGGACGGGCGCUUGGAGUGAUAAUUCCAAAGAAUGGGAUAGCAUCAAACCAGAGGAGAAAGCGAAACUAAAUCAUUCAGCUGAAGAUGGAGAGUUCUGGAUGGCGUAUUCUGACUUCAUACAGCAGUUCUCGAAGUUGGAGAUCUGCAAUCUGACUCCAGACAGUCUUUCAAGUGACAGUGUGAGCCACUGGAACUACAACCAGUUUGAAGGAAACUGGAGGGUGGGCUCCACCGCAGGGGGCUGCAGGAGCAACCAAGCUACAUUCUGCUCAAACCCUCAGUUUGUGAUCAAGCUGGAAGAUGCAGAUGAUGAUCCCUAUGAUGGCGAAGAUGGAUGCACGUUCCUUGUGGGUCUGAUGCAGAAAGAUUGUCGUAAAGAAAAGCGGUUUGGACAAGACCGGAACAAAAUUGGCUUUGCUAUCUAUAAGGUUCCAGAUGAGUUAAAGGGUCGCAACAAUAUUCAGCUCGGUCGUGAUGUACUGCUGCGUCAGCAGUUCGUUGCAGGGAGCAAAACCUUCACCAGAAUGCGAGAGAUAAGCGAGCGCUUCAAACUGCUUCCUGGUGAAUACGUCAUCAUCCCCUCCACUUUCGAGCCGCAUCGCAAGGGAAGCUUCGUACUCCGUGUGUUCACAGAGAAAGAGGCUGCUGCCAGCCCGAUGGAUGCAGAGAUCAGUGCAGAUAUAAAAAAGCAAUACAUAUCCAAGAGUGAUGUGGACCCAGAUUUCAAAAACCUUUUCAAUGAGUUUGCUGGAAACGACUCAGAGGUAUCUGUGACUGAACUCCAGAAGAUCCUGGACAGUGUUAUCUCGAAACGAACUGAUCUGAAGACAGAUGGAUUCAGUAUCGAAACCUGUCGCCAGAUUAUCAGCCUGCUAGAUAGAGAUGGCAGUGGCAAACUUGGCCUUGUGGAGUUUCACGCACUGUGGACAAAGAUCCAGAAAUAUUUGGUAUAAUAUAUAUUUUGGUAAAAUAUUUCAGAUCAAUCAAAAAAAUCUCAAACAAGACAAGGAAAUUUUUAAGAGCCGUGAUACAGACAACUCGGGCACUAUGAGUUCCCAUGAGAUGAGAGAUGCUGUGAAAGAAGCAGGGUUCCAGCUGAACAACGAAGUACUUCAGGUGAUAAUCUUACGUUAUGCCAAUCAGCAGUACGCCAUUGACUUUGAUUGCUUCGUCAGCUGCCUGAUUCGCCUGGAGAUGCUCUUCAAAAUGUUUAAAACGUUCGAUAAGAAGAACACUGGGAAAAUCGAGCUGGAUAUCCUGCAGUGGCUCUGCUUGGCUCUCAGUUAAAAAUCCGCUUACCAUAAAGUCCAUUCAUUUCCUGCACUUCAAAUGAGGAGGACACAGCAGACCAGGAAUAUACUAAAGGGGGGUUGCUUGAGUAAAAUCAACUAUAUGGGCAUAAGCUAAACUUUUAAUUGCUUUCAAAAUGCAAUGUUUAUGGUGCUUAUCUGCUGAAAAUAAAACCAUUUACAAUA